UCAGAGUAGAAAGGCACCAUUUUAUAUAGGUAGUAGGUAUUGGUCAAAUCCAAUGGGAAUAACUCAGGGGAGGGGUGAAUGCUCAGGGGAAUACAGAAAAGAAAACUUUCUAACUUCAGAUUCACAAAGCCUUUUGCGCAUCUGCACGUCACCACAGUACUUAACAAAAGGGAAUCCUUGCUAUAUGGUUUUUAUAUUUAAAGACUUUGCUUAGCUUAUACCUUCUGACUGCAGCUAUUUUGGGUGUCUUUGUUCCAGUUUUUGCCUCUGACACAUUUCUUUGUCAUAGUUAAGAGUCCCUGACUCAUCGGUAAGCAUGUGUGGGGUUUGGAGUUCUCUGUUUUUCUGUGAUUUAAAAUAGUCUGCCUCUGAGGAAUGACCUUUUUUGGUGGCAAUAUAUGAAGUGUUGGCCAUGAAUGCUUUCUCCUUUUCCCUGCAUCCUGAAGAGUACAUGGAGUGAAUUGCAUGGCAUCUUGAGAUGAAGAAGUUGCCUCUUUUUCUGCGACAUUAUUCUUGGCUGCACUUGUGCAAUGUUUGGCAGCCAUAGCUGCUUAUUUUAAGAUGUUCAUUAAAGAAAAAAAAUUACUAGGAUGAGAGACAGCUGCAGGUACUGGCAGUAUACAAAAUUCAUAAUUACUAAGAGUAACUGAAGCAUAUUACAGUAUAAUUCAACCAAAAAAACAGCUGGCACAUGCUAUAUUUGUCAUGAGAGCUUUGCAGAAAGUACUUGCUGCAGCUGGUGGAUUUAUCACCCGUCUGCUGAAAUGCUGGAAGCUCACCUUUUGUUUCCUACUCACUUAGCAAAGACAAUGUGCAGUGGGGGCUGAUGUAGUUAUCCAGCAGUUGCAGUUAUUGCUCAGUUCUAAUACUGAGAUCUCAUAAGUUGUAUUUGGGGGAGGGCUAACACUCAGAUUGAAUCAAUUGUCUAGCCCAAUUGCCAUCACAUUUCCUUAUGCUUACAAGGUUAAACUGUUUCCUUUUAAAUAUGUGUUCAGUGUGAUCUCAUUAUAAAAAUAAUUUCUUGAUCACAGCUGUGUAUGAGCCUGUAAACUCUGUUUAUGGUCUGUGCUGCUAAGCAUGCUAAUUCCAUACCUCAGCACAAGCACAGGAGACAGGCUCCUUUCAGUAACUGAGAAUUUUUAGGGCACCUAAAAAUUGGUCACCUGUAUUGAAAAUGCCUCAUUUGAUGCUUAGUACUAGAAUACAGAGGGCAAAUUACAAAAAUAGUAUUACAUACUAACAUACUGUCUAGAUCCUGCAAUCUUAAUUCUUACUUUAUAUACAGAGUGUUCACAUGUGAUAACAGGUAUAACCUAGAUGUGAUUUUAACUGUUUAACAACAUUGAAAUACCUGCCUGUGUACUUUCAUUUCUAUGAAAGUUCAAAGUUGUUGAACUAUUUUUGUGAUAUCUACCUGGGACUGGUGAAAGAAGUUAAGAGGGUGGGUUGAGAACAGGUGAGUGCAAACUCAUCACCAGAUGUAGUGGUGACCUGAUGUUACACAUGCAUUGCAACCUUGUAUUUCAAAUGACAUGUAUCAGUUUUCAAACUUUUAUGAAGUACUAAGUUUAAAAGUGUAUAAAAGCAAAUUAUUGUUGAGAACUAAGUGUCAUCAUUAAAAUAGCAGAAUUUCAGGUGAAGACCUGAAGUUAAAGUAUCUGCUACCCUACCUCCAUUCCUUCAAAAAUAAAGGCUUUAGCUUCCCUUGCAGUGCAUUAGUCUCAGCAACAGGUGAAGCAUUUAAGGUGAGGUGGUAGAGAUUGGUCAGAGGUUAGAGCAGCUCACUUAGGUUUGCAUCUUUCCCUGGCCAAAAUUACUGGAGUUGUGUCUUUAGUCAUCCUUCUUGUGCUGAUAGAAGGCAAUAACUGUUUCCUUUAGGCACUAGCUCAGAGAUUGUCUGUCAUAACCCAGAUGUUUUUUGUCUUCAAUACUGUGUAAACUGAAGAUCACUAAAACUCAUUCAGUAUAAAAGUGAAAAGACUGCUUUGAAGUAGGUGGUAUUUUCAUUUUCCUCACAAAGUGUCACAUUGUUGUCUGUCUCACAAGUAUAGAAUGAUUUAUUUUUAGGUACUUCAAAGCACCUUUAAAAACGCCUACACUGAGGUCUGGUUAUGGAACACUAAUUAGAAUGUUAAUCUCAAUAUUGAACUUACUGUGCAAAACACAGCUUAUAUUUAUUGCAUACUAGAUAGCAUGCCUCCAAAAUAAGAUUCAAUAAACAGGAAAAAAAACCCUGUAAAAUGUCAAGUGCCCUUGACAAAGUCUUGCUGAUUCCAACAAACACAUCUUGUUCCUCUGCCAUUACAGUUUUGAAUGCACAACAUGAAGAAGUGCUGUGUGGUGCUUUUGAAAUGGGUGUUUUAAGAGUAACCCUGUAAUUAAAACCCACCAUAAGCCUCCACAAUUCAUGGAACUAUCUAUGAAAUUACAUUCCAAUAACUAAAGUACUACUGUUUGCCAAUCAGCAUCUUUUCUUCUGAUUCCCAGAAGUGAGCUGCGUCAACAAAAACUCCGUAGCCAGGAGCUCAUUUCCCAGCUGGAAAUAGCAAAUGAGAAGGUAACUGAGGAUGAGACGCUGAUGAUGGAGUAUCGGGAAUACAUCGACAGGCUUCAGAGGCGGCUGAGCCAGGCGGAACAAAGAGCAGCCACAGCAUCCCAACAGCUCAGCCUGAUAACUACACAGAAUAAAAAAGCUACUUCCCUGAAGGAUCUGGAAAACAUUUAAACACCUGUUUUUAUCAUUCAUCAUGUUGGGAGUUAAGAGUAUUGCUGGAGAAACUUCAUAGUGGAGCACUACAGUCAAAAGCACAGCAAGGCUUGUAAAACUUCAAUUCUGGUGAGAAAGGGAGUGGAUGAAGAUCCUGUCUCUGUAUGCACAAUAAAGAUUGGAAGAAGACUGCAAAA